rnacentral:rRNA from 1 species
GAGCGAGUUGAGUUGAUUUAUCUCUUUGAAGCAGCUAGGGAGAGGCGCACUAGUUGUGGAGGCUGUAGGUGGACGGGCCCCCACCACACGUGACACGUCUCCGCACUCGUCCCGCUCGGUGAUGCCCACCACCAUGUUUUCCUCGGCGGAUAUGUAUGCCGCAGUGUAUAUGCCUUUCUCCAUUCCCCUCCACUAUCUAUCUGCUUCCUCGUUCUCUUCGUCCUCUUCCCCCUUCAUAUACCCACCUUGAAUCCUUCGUAUACCACUAGUAUAGUAUAGUGCCGUAUCCUGUCAUUGCCAGCUCCCGCUUCUUUCGAGUUGUCCGUCCGUUCGUUCGCGUCUGCGCGCCGCAAUCUUGUCCUUGGCUGUGCUGUUCUUGAUGUGCUCUCUUCUUGGACCUAGCAGAAGGAGAACCUAGGCGUCAUCAUCAGAGCCAGUUUCCUCGCCGAGCUUCGGAGCUCAGCAGCCAUGGAGCCCGGAAAGCGGGAGACAUGGCGGACGACGAUGUUGCUGGCGUACCAGAGCCUGGGGGUGGUGUACGGGGACCUCAGCAUCUCCCCGCUCUACGUCUACAAGAGCACCUUCGCCGACGACAUCACCCACACCGACUCCAACGACGAGAUCCUCGGCGUCCUCUCCUUCGUCUUCUGGACGCUCACCCUCAUCCCGCUCCUCAAGUACGUCUCCAUCGUCCUCCGAGCCGACGACAACGGCGAGGGCGGCACCUUCGCGCUCUACUCCCUCAUCUGCAGGCACGCCAACGUCAGCCUCCUCCCCAACCGCCAGCUCGCCGACCAGGACCUCUCCACCUACAGCCUCGAGCGCCCGCCGGAGGAGGUCGCCGACGGCUCGCGCGUCAGGCGAUGGCUCGAGGGCCACCGGAGCCUCAAGACCGCCCUCCUCGUCAUGGUCAUGAUCGGGACCUGCAUGGUCAUCGGCGACGGCGUCCUCACCCCCGUCAUCUCCGUGUUCUCGGCUGUUUCUGGGCUUGAGCUCUCCUUGUCCAAGCAUCAGCACGAAUAUGCCGUCACUCCGAUAACCUGUGCCAUAAUAGUGUUCCUGUUCGCUCUCCAGCAUUACGGCACCCACCGCGUCGGGUUUCUCUUCGCUCCGAUAAUUCUGGCCUGGCUGAUCUGCAUGAGCGCGCUCGGCGUGUACAAUAUCAUCUACUGGAACCCUCAGGUUUACAUGGCACUCAAUCCCGUGUACAUGUUCAAAUUCUUGAAGAAGACCAAGAAGUCUGGCUGGAUGUCCCUGGGAGGGAUUCUGCUCUGCAUGACAGGAUCUGAAGCAAUGUUUGCGGAUCUUGGCCACUUCUCCUACAGUGCAAUCCAGCUUGCUUUUACUUCUUUAGUGUACCCUGCACUGAUCCUAGGAUACAUGGGUCAAGCUGCCUAUUUAACCAAACACCAUGACUUUGACUCAAGCUACCAAAUUGGAUACUACAUCUCAGUUCCAGAGGCUGUGAGAUGGCCGGUGCUGGUGCUGGCGAUCAUGGCGUCGGUGGUCGGAAGCCAAGCAAUCAUCAGCGGCACCUUCUCCAUCAUCAACCAGAGCCAGGCCCUCAGCUGCUUCCCGCGGGUGAAAGUCGUGCACACAUCGGCGAAGGUCCAUGGCCAGAUCUACAUCCCGGAGAUCAACUGGAUGCUCAUGGUGCUCUGCAUCGCCGUCACCGUGGGCUUCCGCGACACCAAGCACAUGGGGAACGCGUCGGGGCUGGCGGUGAUCACGGUGAUGCUGGUCACCACGUGCCUCACGUCGCUGGUGAUGAUGCUGUGCUGGCACCGGCCCCCUGCGCUGGCGCUCGCCUUCUUUGUCUUCUUCGGCUCCAUCGAGGCGCUCUACUUCUCGGCGUCGCUCACCAAGUUCCUCGACGGCGCGUGGGUGCCGCUCCUCCUGGCGCUCAUCCUCGUCGCCGUCAUGUUCGUGUGGCACCACACCACCGUCAAGAAGUACGAGUUCGACCUCCACAACAAGGUCACCAUGGAGUGGCUCCUCGCGCUCUGCGACCGGCUCGGCAUGGUCCGCGUCCCCGGCAUCGGCCUCGUCUACACCGACCUCACCUCAGGCGUGCCCGCCAACUUCUCGCGCUUCGUCACCAACCUCCCGGCGUUCCACCGCGUGCUCGUCUUCGUCUGCGUCAAGUCGGUGCCCGUGCCACGCGUGCUCCCCGCCGAGCGCUACCUCGUCGGCCGCGUAGGCCCGCCGGGCCACCGCUCGUACCGCUGCAUCGUGCGCUACGGGUACCGGGACGUGCACCAGGACGUGGACUCGUUCGAGACGGAGCUCGUCGAGAGCCUCGCGUCCUUCAUCCGGCUGGACGCGCUCUUUCGGUGCAGCGACGCCCGCAGCGAUGCCGACUACGAGCGUGAGAAUGCCUUCACGGUCAUCGGCAGCAACCCGCUCCGGCGCCGCAUCAGCUACGACGACACCCACGACAGCGCAUCGUCCGUGGAGAUACGCGUGGACAGUCCAACGGGCAGCAGCAGGACGAACACCAUAGAGCUCGCGGCCGUGGCAGCGCCGCGAGUGGUGAAAAGGGUGAGGUUCCUGGUGGAUCCCGGGAGCCCCGACGCGGAGGACAAGCAGAUGCUGGAGGAGCUCCACGAGCUGUGCGAGGCGAGGGAGGCCGGCACGGCCUUCAUCAUGGGGCACUCCCACGUGAAGGCCAAGCCCGGGUCGUCGCUGCUCAGGAGGCUGGCCAUCGGAUAUGGGUAUAACUUCCUGCGCCGGAACUGCCGCAGCCCAGACGUCGUGCUCCGCGUGCCGCCGGCAUCGCUGCUCGAGGUCGGCAUGGUCUAUGUGCUGUGACUCACAGACACGGGGCUUCUGUUCUGUCUCUAGCUUCCGGACAUGCUGCUGUAAAUUGUAAUGUGACGGCGUGAUGCGUGAUGGAAAUAUAUGUUUUGAUUGAUGAAAUGCAAAAAUCGUAUGCGGUCGCGAGGUGAUAGUGUAA